AUGGCUGUGGUUAUGUUAACCCAGCCAAGUUCUGCCUGUGCAGAGCCAGGGAGUUCCAUUACCCUGGACUGUGUCGUGUCUGGGAAUAACAUCAAUGACCACCAUCUCCACUGGGUCCGUCAGGCCCCUGGGAAAGGUCUGGUCUGGGUCACAGCUUUCAGAACAGGUUUUACCACCAUCACUGCUAACGAAUUCAAAGGACGGGUCACCCCCUCCACCAGCGGCUCCACUGCCAGGCUAAAGAUAGACAGACUGACAGCUGCAGACACGGCUACCUACUACUGUGCACGAGAAACACAGUGCUCGCUUCCCAGCUUCUUCUCCUACAGUAACCUCUGGGGCAAGGGGUUCGUCUCACUGAGCACAUCUCUCUGCAUGAAAUUCAGCCCUCUGCCACAGCCUGCACAUUGCAAGAGUCCCAAUGCAGCCCUCAAAAUGAGACCCUGGGGUUAA